rnacentral:rRNA from 1 species
AUUGAACGCUGGCGGCGUGCCUAAUACAUGCAAGUCGAACGAAGUCGCGCCCGUGUGAGUAAUAUAUAGUUAAUCUGCCCUACACAGAGUAACAACAGUUGAAAACGACUGCUAAUACCUCAUAGUGUAGGAUGGGACUAUAUCGUAUCAGCUAGUUGGUAAGGUAAUGGCUUACCAAGGCUAUGACGAGUAACUGGUCUGAGAGGAUGAUCAGUCACAGUGGAACUGAGACACGGUCCAAACUGUUACGGGAGGCAGCAGUAAGGAAUAUUGCGCAAUGGGGGAAACCCUGACGCAGCAACGCCGCGUGGAGGAUGACACUUUUCGGAGCGUAAACUCCGUUUAUCAGGAAAGCGGUACCUGAUGAAUAAGCACCGGCUAACUCCGUGCCAGCAGCCGCGGUAAUUC